rnacentral:lncRNA from 1 species
UUGCUUAGAUCCAAGUCUUGCUUGAUCUUUUCAUGAAGAUUUAAGAAGCUUAGUCCAUAGACCUGGAAAUCACCAAGAAUUUGAAUAAGUUCUCUUUUGACUAAUUUCCCGAUUUCAGAAUCUCAGACAAUGGGUUGUUCAGAUUUUGGAACCAAAUUUGGAUUCUCGUCACUGUUAGGACAGAUGUUCUCAAGGCUGUUCAUGCCUUUUAACUCUCAAUCCAUCCUGGGAGUACCAAGAUGUAC